rnacentral:misc_RNA from 1 species
GGUAUAUUCGUUCAACGGUUGGCGUUUUCUUCCACGGGGAUGUAAGUUUACCCAAGAGUCAUCAUUGGCUUUAGAUGUGUCAGGAACCUUUUUGUAUUGUAGAGAUAUGAUAGGUGAUACCAUGUCUUCUACUCUUUGAUGCGAUAGAAGGAUUAAAAGGAAUAUCAGUGAGAUUUCUUCUCAUAUCUUUAUUUGUGGAUUCAGUGAAUAGAGUACUGAAUCUCCGGACUUGUGUGAGCCGUUAGGUUUUGGAGAAAACUAAGUUCUCUUCUCUUAGUUAAAAAGGCGUCAUUCCAAACUCUUGUUGGUCAUGGACUG